UGCCAUUCAGCCCCUUUCAGCGGCUCACCUUCGGGAUGGGUCUUCCCCCCUGUUGGCUAACCCACAUGCCAAUCAUCGGUGGGCACGCCCUCACAGGCCCAGGAAGUGGCUUUACCCAUUUUUAGAUAAUGACCUCAUUUCUCUGUCCUUUCUCGUGGACCACCACUGGAGGAGAGAAUCCUGGAACCCUGUUGACCUUAGGGGACACGCUGCCUUCUAAAGCCCCAGGGCUCGGGCCUCAAGCCUUUCUUGUUCUCCUCCCGUGACGGGAGGCUCACUGAGGACAGCUCCAGUUACCAGAAAUUCUCCUUAAAUGGAACCCAAACUGUGAAGCGCCCACAGGAAGCUGGCACCAGUUAGUGCCCAACAAAUCAAGGAAUUUGGGCUUCGAGAGGAGGCAGGGGUGUGGGCGAUGGCUCAAGGGUCUGACCAAGGAGCCCAGGAGACCCCUUGAGAGUUGUCACCGGGCCCAGGCCUGGGACCCAACCUAGUGGCCGGUGCUGACCUGAUUUUCACGGGCCUCCCAGGCUGGCCCGCCCGAGGGAAGGACGGGCAGAUGCAGGGGAUCGGGGACCCCUGGGCCAUGGCCCCCAGGCUCCCUUCCUCAUCAGAAGCAGCAGCGCCCUCCGGUGGGGAGAGGUGGUGAGGCUCAUCCUCGCUGGGCCCAUCCCUGCUCAGGAGGCCACCUGGAGGUGUCGGGGCGGGGAAGGGGAGGGAAGCGCACAUCCCUGCAAGACUGUAUCCCCCGCCAUCUGCUUUCGGUUAGCAGCUCCUGGGGAGCCUAAUUGGCAGAUCAAACCAUUUGAUGUUCCAUGUUAGAUAAGUAGUGAGAAGGCCCCCUGGAGUCGGACACUUUUUGGAUGGAGCCCAAGCCCUGCAUCCGACCUGGGCCUGGGGUGCUAAUGCGAACCAGAUCCUCGCGCACAGAAGCGGUGGAUAUUAACAAGUGUCAGGAAGCUCCGGGGCGCGGGCGCAGGCAGCCCUGCCUUCUCCCCCUGCGCUGAGCAGGGCCAGGGUCUCCUGGAACGAAAGCUUGGGCCUUGAGGGGGAGCAGGGGCUCUCGGAGGGUGGCCCCUGACACCAGCUGUGCUGGGGACACCUGAGGCUCGCAGGUCCCGCCUGGGCGAUGCGAUGCAGUGGGGAGCUCUGAGCUCCACGUGGGCACGCUCUGUCCCGACUUUCUGUAUGGCUGGUGGCAAGUCACGUGACUGAAGGGGCGGAUGCUGUGUAGCUUGGGGCAAGUGGCUUUGCCUCUCUGGGAGCCUCAGCCUCUCCAGCUGGAAAAUGGGGGUGGGGAACAACCCUGCUUCACUCGAGAUGGCUAGAUUUGGUUUGGGGCCCAGACCUGCUAGGACAUCUUGCUCUGGACGUGAUUCUUAACCAGUUGGACCUCACUAAUGUCAUCUGUGAGAAGGAUUAUAGGAGUCCCCCUUACCCUCAGUUUGGCUUUCCCAAGUCUCAGUUACUUGAGGUUUGCCAUGUCCUGAAACUGCUAAGU